GAAAAAACAACAGUCAUAAGGAUCAGGAGCAAUCUCGCCAUUUAGUUGGAUAUGUUUGGGAUCUUUGGAAGGAUGAAAAGGCUUUAAAUGCUGUUGAUCCAUUGUUAAGUGGCUCAUAUGAAGCUUGUGAAGUUUUGAGAUGCAUCCACAUUGGCCUUUUGUGUGUACAACCGUUUACUGAUGACAGACCUACUAUGUCAGAAGUGGUCUUCAUGCUGUGCAAUGAAACAAAUCUUCCUUUCCCUAAACAACCUAGCCUUAUAUUCAGAUCAGAGAAUCAUAGUUCA
rnacentral:misc_RNA from 1 species